rnacentral:rRNA from 1 species
UACGGAGGGUGCAAGCGUUGUUCGGAAUUAUUGGGCGUAAAGAGCGUGUAGGCGGUUUGGUAAGUCGGAUGUGAAAGCCCUGGGCUCAACCCAGGAAGUGCAUUCGAUACUGCCAUUCUUGAGUAUGGGAGAGGAGAGUGGAAUUCCCAGUGUAGAGGUGAAAUUCGUAGAUAUUGGGAGGAACACCCGUGGCGAAGGCGACUCUCUGGACCAAUACUGACGCUGAGACGCGAAAGCGUGGGGAGCAAACAGGAUUAGAUACCCUUGUA